rnacentral:rRNA from 1 species
GGUCAGUCUNUCUUAAAAGUUCGGGGCUUAACUCCGUGAUGGGAUGGNAGCUGCCAAUCUAGAGUAUCGGAGAGGAAAGUGGAAUUCCUAGUGUAGCGGUGAAAUGCGUAGAUAUUAGGAAGAACACCAGUGGCGAAGGCGACUUUCUGGACGAAAACUGACGCUGAGGCGCGAAAGCCAGGGGAGCGAACNGGAUUAGAUACCCCGGUAGUCCUGNCCGUAAACGAUGGGUACUAGGUGUAGGAGGUAUCGACCCCUUCUGUGCCGGAGUUAACGCAAUAAGUACCCCGCCUGGGGAGUACGACCGCAAGGUUGAAACUCAAAGGAAUUGACGGGGGCCCGCACAAGCGGUGGAGUAUGUGGUUUAAUUCGACGCAACGCGAAGAACCUUACCAGGUCUUGACAUUGAUGGACAGAACUAGAGAUAGUUCCUCUUCUUCGGAAGCCAGAAAACAGGUGUGCACGGUUGUCGUCAGCUCGUGUCGUGAGAUGUUGGGUUAAGUCCCGCAACGAGCGCAACCCCUAUCUUAUGUUGCCAGCACUUCGGGUGGGAACUCAUGAGAGACUGCCGCAGACAAUGCGGAGGAAGGCGGGGAUGACGUCAAAUCAUCAUGCCCCUUAUGACCUGGGCUACACACGUACUACAAUGGGAGUUAAUAGACGGAAGCGAAACCGCGAGGUGGAGCAAACCCGAGAAACACUCUCUCAGUUCGGAUCGUAGGCUGCAACUCGCCUACGUGAAGUCGGAAUCGCUAGUAAUCGCAGGUCAGCAUACUGCGGUGAAUACGUUCCCGGGCCUUGUACACACCGCCCGUCACACCACGAGAGUUUGUAACACCCGAAGUCGNUGAGGUA